GAUGAACGCUGGCGGCGUGCUUAACACAUGCAAGUCGAGCGGACGGGCGCUGCGCUUGCGGCACUCGUGUUAGCGACGGACGGGUGAGUAACACGUGGAUAACCUUCCUCUUAGACUUGGGUAACUGCGAGAAACCGUAGCUAAUACCGGGUAAUAUUUUGAGCCGCAUGGUUCAAAAGUGAAAGACGGUCUGGCUGUCACUUCUGGCUGGAUGCGCGGUGCUUGAGCUAGUUGGUAAGGUAACGGCUUCCCAAGGCGGCGAUGCCUGGCCGAACUGGGAGGGUGAACGGCCACUGUGGGACUGAGACGCGGUCCUGGCUCCGACGGGAGGCAGCAGUAGCGAAUGGUCCGCGAUGGGCGGAAGCCUGACGGAGCAACGCCGCGCGGGUGAUGAAGGUCUUCGGAUCGUAAGACUCUCUUAUUAGGGAAGAACAUAUGUGUAAGUAACGGUGCACUUCUUGACGGUACCUAAACAGAAAGCCACGGCUAACUACGUG
rnacentral:rRNA from 1 species